rnacentral:rRNA from 1 species
AGAACGAACGCUGGCGGCAUGCCUAAUACAUGCAAGUCGAACGAAGGCUUCGGCCUUAGUGGCGCACGGGUGCGUAACGCGUGGGAAUCUGCCCCUUGGUUCGGAAUAACAGUUGGAAACGACUGCUAAUACCGGAUGAUGACGAAAGUCCAAAGAUUUAUCGCCAAGGGAUGAGCCCGCGUAGGAUUAGCUAGUUGGUGAGGUAAAGGCUCACCAAGGCGACGAUCCUUAGCUGGUCUGAGAGGAUGAUCAGCCACACUGGGACUGAGACACGGCCCAGACUCCUACGGGAGCAGCAGUAGGGAAUAUUGGACAAUGGGCGAAAGCCUGAUCCAGCAAUGCCGCGUGAGUGAUGAAGG